UAGAAGCGAGACGGCGACGUUAAGCAAAUCNAAAAACCCAGUCCCAGUUCGGAUUGCAGUCUGCAACUCGACUGCAUGAAGCUGGAAUCGCUAGUAAUCGCGAAUCAGAAUGUCGCGGUGAAUACGUUCCCGGGCCUUGUACACACCGCCCGUCACACCAUGAGAGUCGGAAACACCCGAAGCCUGUAGUCCAACCGCAAGGAGGACGCAGUCGAAGGUGGGUCUGAUAAUUGGGGUGAAGUCGUAACAAGGUAAC
rnacentral:rRNA from 1 species